ensembl:lncRNA
GUUUCUUUUGGACAUUUGUUGGCAAGUGAUAUGUGAGGAUUUGGAAAAUUCUCUGUCAUUGUAUUCUCUUUAUAUGUAUGACUUUCAAUUUUGGUUUCAAUAUCAUUAAUUUCUGAUUAUUCAAAGACAAUUUUUGUCCCUCGGAUUACUACUGGCUGCUAGCAGUGCCUUUCAUAGAAAAUGGUAUUUAAUUGCAUAUUUUUCUUCCAACUCCCUUUUGUAAGUACUUUUGAUUAACAUGAGUAGUUUUGUCUCUAAUGUUUGGAUUAUUUUAGAGAGAAUGAUAAGACACUUACCAUAUAAUGAUACAUAUAUUAAAAACUAUUCAUUUUAAUUUUGAAAGUAUUUAAGAGCUAUAUAGAUGUAUAAAAUUUCCUGUGGUUUCCUGUUUAAAUAUUUAAGGGAACCUGUAUAUCGGUGUGUAAAAAAAUGGUAGUUAUUUGCAGAAUGAGGCUUAGAGUUGUAACUUUUUGAGGGCAAGUUGAUUAUUUUUAGAUUAAAUUAUUAUGGAAGUGUUUAUUUCCUUCUUGAGAAUUAGUAUAUUCCUUUUGUUUUUUAGGAAUAUGUUUUUCACUCUUGUCACAGGCGCUUGGGAACAUCCUGAGUCCUGUGUCAGUGUUGUUGGAGGCAGUGGGGUUUGUGUGUGCUUUGUCUGAGCUGGUUAGCUUAGUUGCAGUGAGCCUGGUAUUAAUAAGGCAAAGGUCAGGAGUUCCAUUUAGCUUCAGUCUGAGCGAUGGCCAGGGAGUACACCUCUCACUCCUGCCAGCUGUCUGGGACAUUCCUCGGUUGUCGCUGGUCACAAAGGUGACUGGAUUAGGAUGGAUUUUUUUUUUUUAAACCACUGGAAGAAUAUUAGAGGAAAUUUAGCAUAGUGAUUAGGAACUCGGACUCUGGAAUAAGACAGACCUAUGUCAUGAGUCUGCAUAAAGUCCGGGACGACCCCAUGGACUGCAGCCCACCAGGCUCCUCCGUCCAUGGGAUUUUCCAGGCAAGAGUACUGGAGUGGGGUGCCAUAUGCAAAUACUACACUGUCUUGUAGAAGGGACUUGAACUUUGGCGGGUAUCCUCUGAGGUCUUGGAACCAUUCAUGUCCCUUUGGAAAACUGAGGGAUGACUGUUUUUGUUGUUUCAUGAGAGCUAGUUUUGACAUGGCUUUUUUUUUUUUUUUCACCCUUGGUGUACUGCACUUUUGUUUUGAUAUGUCUGAAAGAUGGUUUCUUCUGUUUAUCAUGUUUGGUGUUCAGUAGGCUUUGGAAUCUAAAGAUUGAUGUCAGUUCUGGAGAACUGUUGGCUAUUUUCUCCUCAAAUUUUAUCUUCUUUAUUUCAUGUCUGAAACUUGUGUUUUGAAGUAUGUUAGAUCUUUUUACUCUACCCAUUGGGCCUUUUAAUUGGUCUUUUAUAUUUUCUAUUUCUGUGUCUGUUUGUAUUGUGUUCUCAAUAAUUAGUGCCUUUUCUUCCAGUUAGCUAAUUCUCACCUCAGUUUUGUUCACCUGUUUCAUUGAGUUUUUUUCACUUUAUUUUAUCAAUUAUAUCUUUUUAAAAAACUGUGGUAAAAUACACAUAAAUAGAAUUUACCAUUUUAGCCAUUUUAAAGCAUAUGGGUCAUGACAUUGAGUAUAUUCCCCUUAUUGUGUGACUAUCACCCCUGUCCAUCUCCAGGACUUUUUUCAUCAUCAUAAAAUUUUGUACCCAUUCAACAGUAAGCCCUUGUUCCCUCUUCACUGAGCCCCUGGCAACAGCUACUUUCCUUCUGUGCAUUUAUUCUGUAUGGUCAUAUAAGUGGAUCAUACAGUGUUUGUCAUUUGUC